rnacentral:misc_RNA from 1 species
AAGUCGUAACAAGGUUUCCGUAGGUGAACCUGCGGAAGGAUCAUUACCUAGAGUUUGUAGACUUUCGGUCUGCUACCUCUUACCCAUGCUUUUGAGUACCUUCCGUUUCCCGGCGGUUGCCGGCCCGCCGAUUGGACAACAUUCAAACCCUUUGCAGUUGCAAUCAGCGUCUGAAAAAACAUAAUAGUUACAA